UCAUGUUGUGUCCUGGGUGAGAGUGCUUCUGCUGUGAUCUGGAGCAGUUCUCAGAGCAGCUCCAGCACUUGGUAAAGGGCUUCUGUACCAUCCUGAUUUCCAGGCAUUUACUAACCCUGAAAAUGCAGAACAGCUUCUUUCUAGGAUGGAAGAGGUUUCUGUGAUGUGGAGGUGAGUGCCAGGAUUCAGUACUAGCCAAAGUUACCCUUUUGGGAGGACUCUCCAACAGACUGUUGGGAUUCUUGGAACAGCUCUUGAGGAUCACAGACAAGGGAUGGGAACAGUACUGGGCCCAUGAAGCCCUAAAGCUGUGAGCAGGAGUCAGUGGAAGAAGAAAGGAUGUGAAGCUGAAAUGAAACAGUGUUUGGGAUCACAUUCGUCACAUCCGCGCGUUCAGGAUCAUGGUGUCAGUCUGAGCAUUGGGAGUCUGGGAAAAUUCCUGCCACGCUGUAAAAGAAUUUACAGGAGUAAAAAGAGUCUGAACUGUGCUGAAAUAAUCCCGAGAGCAUUGUGCUCCUCACACUGCAACAAGUUGAAAGAAAAAAUUCCUCUGUACCUUCCACAGGCUGCAAACAGGUAGCGUGAUGGCUGCCACUGGUUGUAUUUUCCUAUGAGAAGUGGGGUAGCAAGGCAAGA